UGCUGGGCGCCACAACUUUCCCCAACCCGUGCCAACUUCCAGGGCACAGCCUCUGCGGAGAGUAGCAGGGUACAGUGAAUAACCCAGACACUAAAAAGCAAGGCAGCGGGGGUCCUACCAGCGCGGCUUUUGAUGACGUCGGUGAAUCCGUCCUCAGCGGCAUUUUCUGGGGUCUCCUGCAGACCCCUCAGCUGUGCCAUAACCAAACGCCACGUGCCUCAGCUUCCUCACGCCCCAAACUUUGGAAGGCAGGUCACAUGGAAUCUACACAUGGAAGGACAUAGGCAUUGCAUGCAGGUAUCCGGAAUCAUUGAUAUUGGUCUUAAAAUUUGGAAGUUUCCACUUUUGCUAAGGUAUGUUUUCCUUAAUGGUGGAGGUUUACUAAUUGGGUGUACCUCCAGAUCUAAUUCUUUCAUGUAAUCCUCAUAUGAUAGGAAGUAAUGAGAUGAAUAUCAUUAGGCAUUUUCAAAUUUGAAUUGAAACAUAUUACGAUAUGUUUAUAUUAGAGACUGGACAAAAUUAUCAUUAAGAUUCUAAGGUUCUACUUAUCAUUACCAUGAAUGGGUUUUAAACUGCUAACUAGUUAAAGAACUGUAAAUGAAAAAAGAAAAAACAA
rnacentral:lncRNA from 1 species